rnacentral:rRNA from 1 species
AUACCGGCGGCUCGAGUGGUGGCCACUUUUAUUGGGCUUAAAGCGUUCGUAGCUGGGUUGUUAAGUCUCUUGGGAAAUCCGGCGGCUUAACCGUCGGGCGUCUAAGAGAUACUGGCAAUCUUGGAACCGGGAGAGGUGAGGGGUACUUCGGGGGUAGGAGUGAAAUCCUGUAAUCCUCGAGGGACCACCUGUGGCGAAGGCGCCUCACCAGAACGGCUUCGACAGUGAGGGACGAAAGCUGGGGGAGCAAACCGGAUUAGAUACCCGGGUAGUCCCAGCCGUAAACGAUGUGCGUUAGGUGUAUCGACGACCACGAGUCGUCGAGGUGCCGAAGGGAAACCGUGAAACGUACCGCCUGGGAAGUACGGUCGCAAGGCUGAA